GUUUAUAUAGUUUAUUUAAAACUUUACAUUUUCAUUGUAAAAAUAAAAUUUUAUAUUUUUAUAAAUA
rnacentral:tRNA from 1 species